AAAAAGAUAAGCUAAGCAAGCUUGUGGGUUCAUACCCCAUCUAUGAGGAUUUGACUCCCUCUCUUUUUA
rnacentral:tRNA from 1 species